ACAGCAGCCGCGUUAAUUCCAGCUCCAAUAGCGUAUAUUAAAGUUGUUGCAGUUAAACCGCUCGUAGUCUGAUGUAAUGGGGACUGGUGUGGGGAGCAGCGAUGCUCUUUGCUUCGGUCCUCAUCAACGGGACAGCAAUGUCCCAUUUUACUUUGAGGAAAUUAGAGUGUUCAAAGCAGGCGAUUGCUUGAAUACUGCAGCAUGGAAUAAUGGAAUAGGACUCGCGUCUUAUUUUGUUGGUUUGGAGAUGUGAGUAAUGAUGAAUAGGGACAGUUGGGGGCAUUGGUAUUCAGUAGUCAGAGGUGAAAUUCGUGGAUUUACUGAAGACUAACUAGUGCGAAAGCAUUUGCCAAGGAUGUUUUCA
rnacentral:rRNA from 1 species